rnacentral:rRNA from 1 species
CACGUAGGGGGCGAGCGUUGUCCGGAUUUAUUGGGCGUAAAGAGCUCGUAGGCGGUUUGGCAAGUCGGGUGUGAAAUUUCGAGGCUCAACCUCGAAACGCCACUCGAUACUGCCAUGACUGGAGUCCGGUAGAGGAGUGCGGAAUUCCUGGUGUAGCGGUGAAAUGCGCAGAUAUCAGGAGGAAUACCGAUGGCGAAGGCAGGUCUCUGGGCUAACACUGACGCUCAUGCACGAAAGCGUGGGGAGCAAACAGG